rnacentral:tRNA from 1 species
GCCUUCGUAGCUCAGGGGAUAGAGCACCGCUCUCCUAAAGCGGGUGUCGCAGGUUCGAAUCCUGCCGAGGGCACAG